GAUGAACGCUGGCGGCGUGCCUAAUACAUGCAAGUCGAGCGAACGGACGAGAAGCUUGCUUCUCUGAUGUUAGCGGCGGACGGGUGAGUAACACGUGGAUAACCUACCUAUAAGACUGGGGUAACUUCGGGAAACCGGAGCUAAUACCGGAUAAUAUUUUGAACCGCAUGGUUCAAAAGUGAAAGACGGUCUUGCUGUCACUUAUAGAUGGAUCCGCGCUGCAUUAGCUAGUUGGUAAGGUAACGGCUUACCAAGGCAACGAUGCAUAGCCGACCUGAGAGGGGAUCGGCCACACUGGAACUGAGACACGGUCCAGACUCCUACGGGAGGCAGCAGUAGGGAAUCUUCCGCAAUGGGCGAAAGCCUGACGGAGCAACGCCGCGUGAGUGAUGAAGGUCUUCGGAUCGUAAAACUCUGUUAUUAGGGAAGAACAUAUGUGUAAGUAACUGUGCACAUCUUGACGGUACCUAAUCAGAAAGCCACGGCUAACUACGUG
rnacentral:rRNA from 1 species